rnacentral:siRNA from 1 species
GGACAAGGCGCAGGCUGCUUUCU